UUUUAAUGAUGAGUCUAACUAGCUCACUUUGAUCUUGUAUCAAGCCAUGAAAAUAGCUGAACAACUGAAAAAC
ensembl:snoRNA SNORD29 Small nucleolar RNA SNORD29